CUCAAAAACAUGUCCUAUUGAUUUAUUUAAUAGGUCAGACCUGCCCGGUGAAAUAUUUAACGGCCGCGGUAUACUGACCGUGCAAAGGUAGCAUAAUCAUUAGUCUUUUAAUAGGAGGCUGGAAUGAAUGGUUUAACGAGAAAUUUACUGUCUCAAUUACAAAAUUGAAUUUAUCUUUUAAGUUAAAAGGCUUAAAUUUUGUUGAUGGACGAGAAGACCCUAUAGAGCUUUACAUUUUUUUUUUUAUGAAUAUAUAGUUUAUAAUUUAUUCUUAAACUUUAAAUAUGUUUUGUUGGGGUGACAAUAAAUAUAUAUUUAACUUUUAUCAUUAUAUAAACAUUAAUUUAUGAUUUUUGGAUCCAAAAUUUUUGAUUAAUAGAUUAAGUUACCUUAGGGAUAACAGCGUAAUCUUCUUUCAGAGUUCAAAUUUACAAGAAGGCUUGCGACCUCGAUGUUGGAUUAAGAUAAUAAUUAGGUGUAGCAGCUUAAUUAAUAGGUCUGUUCGACC
rnacentral:rRNA from 1 species